UCUCCGGUGUCCUAGUGGUUAGAGCGUCCGCCUCGGAUGCGUGAGGUCAUGAGUUCGAUCCCAGGUCGAAUCAUACCAGAG